AGGGGUUGUAGCUCAGAGGCCAGAGCGCCGGUCUCCAAAACCGGAUGCCGCAGGUUCGACUCCUGCCACCCUGCCA
rnacentral:tRNA from 2 species